UGCCCCAUCGAAGUUUCUUCCUUGUUGAACGAUGUAACCAUCGUCACUUGCUAAUAAAAGGGAGAGGAAAUUAUAUAACAAUGGUAUAGAUAUAAAUUGUAGUAGAGAUAUGAAAGAAGGUUUGUUUCUCCAAUUUGUUUGUCUGUAUAAUGUUUUUUUACGUCGUCCGCCUCCUAGGAAUUCACUAUUUGAUGCAUUUUGCGUCAAAUAGUCGGGGCAUCGCAUAUGAGGUUCGUGACAGCGAGCACAAUGGGCAAGUCCUUAAUUUAUAGCGGUAUGCAGAGGUGUUUUGUUCCGGUUUUAGGAACGUUCUAGAUGGUUCCCAGUUCCUGACUGGUUUUUUUGAUUCCUUUUUUGUUCUAUUUACUCGUUUUUCUGGUUUCCUUUUCUGGGUUUUCAUUUUCAUUUUUAUGUUUUUGUGUUUUGUGUUUCUUUUUCUUCCUUUUUGUUGUUUCAUAAAUUCGAAAGUUGUUUGCGUAUUGAAAACAAUUCAAAAUUCUGUUCGUGUUUUAAAACACAAUGUUCAUAAUUUCAAAUAUUUGUUCAUGUUUUUCAAAAGUGUUCGCAAAUUCGAAACAUGUUCAAAUAUUUCAAUAAAUAUUCAAUUUUUUGAAAAGAUCAGCAUUUCAAUUUUUUUUCAUGGUUUUAGAAAUUCCGCAUGUUUGUCAAAAUUUGUUUGGAAUUUUGAAAGUUCUUCACACUUUUUAACAAAUGUUUUAAAAUUCAAAAAAUGUUUGUUUUUGUUCAGGUUUUCCAAAAAAUGUCCGAAAUUCCAAAAAUGGUUCAAAAGUUUCAAAAAAAAAAGGUUCCCUCUUUUUUCAAAUUUCUUCACAAAUUUUGGAAUCACAAGCUACCGUAUUUUUUUGAGAAGGCAGAAGAAGCUACAGUAAGGCGCUGCAGUAUUUGUUUUUUCUGACCGUUGGUGCGUGGCCUCCACUUACCAAAGUUGUUCUUCAACACAGGAAAGGAAAACCCAGCCCAGUAGCCCACGCAAUCGUCCGUCUCCCUCCCACACGAAGCACUGGUCCGUCUCCGUCUCCAACACAAUCCGCCGCCGCUUUCUCCUCCCAUCGCCGUCUCACAUCCCGUCGCUUCCGCCGUCGGCCGAUUGAUGAGUGUUUCCCGUUUCUUCGUCCGCCGUCCCUCCCCGCACUCACACACGCGUACACCCAUCUUGCUCGCCUCAGCCCACGAACCCUAGACGCCACGGAGAUGGAGCAUCUCCGCCGCCUCGCCCAGUUCUUGCGCCUCAGCUCGCGGGGAUGGAGCAGGACGGCGCCACCCGUCCUCUCGCACCAUGCCCAGGACGGCGGCGCCGUGGACGGCUGGGCGCACGACGGCACGGAGCCCCCCUCCCUUUACGGCGCCCCGGCAGAGUGCCCCGAGGCCGCAGAUCCUCCUCUUUGUCGGCGCUUCCGCGGCCACGUCUCCGCUGCCGCCUCCGCGUGCGCGACCCUCAACUACGACGCGGUGGGGAGGAGGGCUGCGACGACCUUCACGCCUGCUCCGUCGACCACAACUACUGCGUCCGCAAGAAAGCCGCAUGGAUUGGGGAUAUGUACUUCGGUUUGGGUUUAAAGGGGCAAUCUUUGAGCAUUUGUAUCAACUAUCGAGGAUCUCAAGUUCACAUCGAUCGCACUAUGAUCAAGUGCAUUCCGGUGCUAUGAUGAUUGUGACAGAAGAUGUUAGCUGCAGAAGCAAUCGCUGUCUCAGCUCCAAUAUUAAAAAUCAAUGCACCUGAAUUGCGACACAAUUUUUCUUAUUUGGAACUGUGGUUAUAAGGUGUUUAAUCUGAAAGCUACGCUUUCAUGAAAUCACCAGGAUUUUGACCUCCAUACGAAAUCUGCAAGGGUAACAACAACAAAGGAAACUGGUGUAAGAUUGAGUACUAAGACUCGAAGAUGAGCUACCAUCAAGAUUAUGUCUCGACAAUCAAGUAUAGUGUGAGCACUUAUUUUUCUUUUAUACAUCAAUUAAAAUUAUCAAUUAACUACAAAGUGAUCAACAUAUUUGUCUUAGAUAUUAAGAAAACUUAGUAAUGUCAUGUGUUGUAUAGACUUAACUUUGUCUCAUCUAGUUAAUCAGAGCACAAAGAGUGAAUAUCAAAUUGGCUAACUUGAAUUAUCUGGAACUUUCACCAUACCAUCUGUACAGUAUCCAUUAAAAUCUGAAAUUGGCUCAGUAGUGGCCUUCCCUACUGAUUUUUACUUAAAAAAAACUCAAACUUAAGACUGCAAUCCAAUAUGGGUGCAUGCCAUUUUUAUGAUCCCCGAGUAACUGAGAAAAGUAAGUUCAUAUAUAGUUCCGUUGAGUAAACUAAGAAGGGUAAAGUUGCGAAGAAGAAACACAACGAUCAAAAGUAGUUAUAUCUUUAUUUUUGAAUUAAACUAAAGUUGCCAUGGUAGCGAUAUUUUAGAAAAAUCUGAUUUGUAGCAGGGCGCUAAGUUUGACUUAACCUGCAAAAAGUUAAAUCAGAUUGUAGCGCGAACAUAGAGGUAAAUAUUCUGAUGGCAAGCAGAUAUGAAUGUUUCUAGAAUAAGUAUAUUUGAUAAACUUGCACACUUUACUAGCUUGAUUGAUCUAAAAAAUUAUGGUUAUGCACCCACAUUAUAUUUCUAUAAAGUUGGUACUAUAUAUAAAUUCGAGAAUGUGAUAUAAACAAAGCAGUAUGUAAACAUGCAAAAAAUGUCAGAAGAAUAUCAUAUUAGUUUCAUAAUCACAGUUAUGCAAGAGAAUACAGAAAUAAAGUGUACUAUUGCUUGAAUCUCGAAAUAACGCAUGAUCCAUAUUAAGUUAAUUACCAAUAUGGUGUCACUUACAUAGUACUUAGAUAAUAUUCCUCCAAAUCUGAUGAAAGUUCUUUUACGGCUGAGAUUUUUGUUAAAAGGAAAUACAAAUUCAGUAUUUUUGCAAUAUAAUUGGUGUUGGCUGUUAUGUAGGAUUUUUUUUUUUACCGAACUCACAAAAGUAUAUUGUGUAUCCCAUCCAGCGUUCAACCUAAUGGACAUCGAGGGAACCACUUUGAGUAGGCAAUUGUUUGUGUGGAAAAUGCAUGGUACUAAAGCUAACCUUCCUCUGGUCUAGAUGAAAUCAAGGCAACUGGGUCUUCUAUCUUCAAACAUCUAUUUGUUAGUUUUUCCUGGCUUCAGUGCAUUCCAUCAUAUUACUGUGUUUAAACAUAAUUGCAAUGUGCUAAUUAUUUUCUAAAAAAUUUACAGUGUAUUAAUUAAGUAAAACUUAUUUGAAGUAGAUGUAGCACGACCUUUAGGAUUUUGCACACGAACCUCACCAAUUUCGAGUAGUCGUACUUCUACAUAUCUGCUCACCAAAUAUCUGCAUGAUUAUUAUGAACGUAGUGAACUCUGAAGCUAUUUUCUUUAUUAGUCCUAAAAGAAACUAAACUAUUUGUGUGGGGCCAGAGAAGCGUACUUUCAAUACAAACUGCAAUUGCUUGGGCAAGAGAAAUCAACUCAAUACUGCAAUUUUCCAUAUGAAGUAGUAAGAGGAGGCGUACCAUUGUAAACCGAUGUAGGCUGAAGGCUAGCUGCAUCUUUGGCAUGUGGUCAAACCCGGCAAGCUGCAACUUUGUGGAGCAUCCACACUACUGCCACCACAUGCUUGCUAAAAGGCUUAAUCUGACCGUCCCUAUACAUCGUCCACAUCUUCGGCGAGCAUGUUUGAUGGCAAGCUCGGGCAACUGUUGCCGUCAUGAAAAUCACUACAUGGAUCGAUGUGCCCAUCAUGUCUGGUAGUAGAUGAUGCAUUAUUUGAGCUUGAUAGAGUAUGACUAUAUCCCACGCGGUCUUGUUUGCAUCAAAAGUGUGGCCCACCUUGGAGACACCAACCAUUUUGGUAGUGGGCAUCUCAACAGUUUUAUUUGGACCUCAUUCCCCUAAUACGCUAGUAAUUGUCUCCUUUCUCGUAUUUCUCUUAGUCUCACUCCCAUACACUUCAUGAUCUGAGAGAGGGAAUGCUAGCAGCCAUGGUGGCAGUGUCCCCUCCCAAGCUCAUCAGAAGAAUUCACAACACGCAAACGACCAAUGUAGUAAAGAAGAGGAUGAGGGGGAAUCACUGGGGACAAGCCAGGUGAGGUAGUCUUAGGAAAUGAACGAGGCGGGAAAGCCGCAGGUGAUGAUGAGCUUGAUAAAGAAGCGAUUAGAGGUAGAAGACACCUCAAUCCCUAGGAAGUAGUGAAGAGGACCAAGAUCAGACAUAAGAAACCCACUAUGAUGAGCCUUCACAAAGGCAAUGUACUUAGAGUCAUCGCAGUGAUGAUCGACAUAUAGAAGGAGAAUUUGACCACGAAUUGAAAGGUGGACAAGAAGUGUAGGAUCAUGAGCACUUGCCGAAAACUUGCCGCAAUCACCACUGAGACAAAAUGCUCAAAGUAGGCACGAGGGGUUUGCUUAAGGCCAUAAAAGAGCGAUGAAGACGACAAACCAUGCCAUCAGGAAGAGAAUACCCAGGUGGUGGGUAUAUGUAGACCUCAUGCAGCAGGGAGGAAGAGAAAUGAUAUCCCACAUGCCUAUGUGCGCAAGAGCAACAAUCUCGUCUACAAUCGCAUGCUGCUAUUCAUGAUGAACAAAUGCGUCAUACUAAGAAGUCGUCCCGAGAAAAGCGACGCUAGAAUAACCAAUAACCAUAGGGCCAACAGGCAGAAGCGAGCGAGCUCGGAAACCAUAAGUAGGCCGAGCUUUAGGUAGUGCAUUGCCAACAGGAAAGGCCAUAGUAGUCCAGGGAGAUGGCUCAUUAGAAGGAUCCACAACACGUGGACCACAAGUGUAAUGAAGAAGAUGAAAAGGGGGAAUCAUCGGGGAAACCUCAUGGAUGAGCGAGGUGAGGUAGGCUCAGGUAAUGAACGAGGUGGGGAAGCCGCAUGUGGCGACGUGUGGGGUCUAUAACAGUAGUACAGGAGGAUAAGCUGGGAUAGGUGGGCGAGGGCAAUAAAUGAGUGAUAAGUGUAUCAGGAAAAGUGAGGGAAGAAAUAUCGUCAAUGGGGGAGGCCGAAGGAGAGGAUGGACUCGGAUAGAAAGGACGAGACUCAAUCAAAAGUCACAUAUGAAGAAAUGCCCAUCCGACGACUAACAAGAUCCCAACACCGAUAGCCCUUGUGCUUAUCACUGUAAUCUAAGAAGACACAUUCAACAGACUGAUCAAAUAGUUUGGUGCGUGAAGAACGUAGCAAACACAACCAAACAAAUGAAGUGUUGAGUAGUUAGGAGAGAAUGCUCACAAAGACACUCGAGAGGAAUGUCGCCCUGUAGAGCUGAGGAAGGAUGAAUGUUGAUGAUAUAGGUGGCUAUGGUCAUCAACGCGCUAGCCGCCUCACGAAGGUGACGAUGCUUGCGCUCAACAACCCCAUUCUAAGCAUGAGCACCAGGACAAGAGAACUGAGCAAGUGUGCUUUGCUCAACAAGGAAUCCCCGCAACCAAUGAGAGAUACACACAAGCAUAAUCUGCACGAAAGACAUGGAUAGUAGUGGAAAAUUGGGUAUGAACCAAGGCGGCAAACAUCUUAUAGAUAGAUAAGACCUCACUACAAGAAGGCAUAAAAUAUAUCGACUUGUGUUGAGAGAAAUAAUUGUAAAGAUAAUAUAGUGGCGAUGGCCUCCUUUCGAGGCGAAGAGAGCUGGGUCCCAAAUAUUAGAGUGAACAAGAUUGAAAGGACACCGAGACACAAUCUCGCUAUGAGGAUACGGUAACUAAACGUGUUUACCUAGCAGACAAACUUGUCCUUCUAAAGUUACAUUGCGAGACAGAUCCUAGAAUACCACAUCGUUCUAAGGAUGAGAGAUUAGAGCCACACAUGUGACUGAGACGAUGACGCCACAAAGAGUCGGUAGACAAGGUAAGAGAGUCGAAGAGACUGGCGGAUGUGGUAGCGGAGGGAAGGCGUAGCCUGGCAAGCUUCAGUGGCCGUGUGAGUCACAGCGUCGAGGGCCAACACCAAGUAGAGCAGCCGUGUGCCGAUCCUAAAUUAGAACAAGAGUUAAAGUCAAGAAUAUUGGAGUAAGAGAAAUAUUGUUUGUGUCAGGUUCAAUGAUACAUUUGCUUGGAUUCCAGGACAGAGUUAAAGUUGAGAUUGGGCACUUGGAUUUGUGACAUUUUGACAUGAGCUUGAAACUGGAGAACUUUAGGGUGUAGCAUGAUGAACCUGAGAUAUAUUGAAUUUAUAUAGGUAUACUAUGAUUAGCAUGAAUGCGGUAUUUGUGGACUAUUAGAUCAUCUUGGAUAUUACUAGUUGGAUUCUAGGUUAGAGAUAACUUGAGCAGUUGGAUUUGUGAUAUUUUGACCUAAGCUUAGUAGCUUGCAUGCAGAUGAUACGAUCGUAGUUGGUAGACUGUGAUGAUUUUGCUAACCCUCCCCAAGAAUGUUACCAGUACAAGAUCAUCAUGGGAGGAUGAUUUGGAUUAAUUAGAAUAGAUGACAAUUUCAGUGGUAUGAGCCUUGUUGGAGCAGCUGAUGUUGCUUUUAUUAUGUUUUUGUGCUCCUUUAGAUGCAGUAGUAGAAGGGUAGGACUUAUGAAGUGAUACUAUAUUGGUGGAUAAAUAGAUCUUUAAUAACCUUGAAACUGGAGAACUUUAGGGCAGGACCUAUGAAGUUUGGAUUUACUUACAUGACUGUGAUCUCUUGAAAAAAAUUUGGUGGAUAGAUAACUUCUAAUUUUUUGGAUCUAUAGUCAUCCAGUGGAAGCUUGCUUCAUACUGGACUUAGAUAACCAUGAUAAUAGGCUUGGUUGAAUCAUAGUUAUGAUUUGUACUAGAUGCACACUUUUAGAGAUUGAAACUAGAGAAAUAUAGGGUGUAGUAUGAUCAAUCGGAGAUAUAUUGGAUUUAAUAUGAAUAUAAUAUGAUCAGCAUGAUUCUAAAAAUUGAUGGAGGAAAACAAAGAUAUUGGAGUAAUAGAAAUGUUGUUUGUGUUAGGUUCAAUGAUAUAUCUGCUUGGAUUCUAGUUCUAGGUCGGAUUUAAACUUGAGAUUGGGCACUUGGAUUUGUAAUAUUUUGACACGAGCUUUAAAACUGGAGAACUUCAGGGUGUAGCUUGAUCAACCUGAGAUGUAUUGAAUUUAUAUAGGUAUAGUAUGAUUAGCAUGAAUGCAGUAUUGAUGGACUAUUGUAUGAUCUUGGAUAUUACUAGUUGGAUUUUAGGUUGGAGAUAACAUGAGCACCUGGAUUUGUGAUAUUUUGACCUAAGCUUAGUAGCUUGUAUGCGCCCCAUAUGGAUAUGAGCAUGGAGAGGAUACAAACGGAUUGUAGUUUGCAGACUUUGAUGAUUUUGCUAGCCCUCCCCAAGAAUGUUACGAGUACAAGAUCAUCAUUGGAGGAUGAUUUGGAUUAAUUAGAAUAGAUGAUAAUUUUAGUCGUAUGAGCCUUGUUGGAGCAGCUGAUCUUACUUUUAUUAUGUGUUUGUGCUCCUUUAGAUGCAGUAGAAGGAGGCUAGUAGUUAUGACGUGAUAUUAUAUUGGUGGAUAAGUACAUCUUUAACAACGUUGGAACAAUUUGGAUUUACUUAGAUGAUUGUGAUCUUGAAAACAAAUCUGGUGGGUAAAUAACUUCUAAUAUUUGGAUCUAUAGUAAUCCAGUGGAGGCGAAGGAAGUUGGAGAGGGCCGAUGAGAAAGCACAUGAGAAGCUUUACUCGAUCUCCUGAAGAUCGACAUUGCCGCACGGCUUGGCGCAAAGCCGGUGCGGCUGAUAGGGUUUUCACCCUCUCCCACACCUCAUGUGCAUUGUUCAUUCCCGCCAAUUCGGCUUGGUGUCCUUCCCUUGUUUGCGAGUUCCGUGCCAAUGACUUGAUCUGGCAUCACACGUUCUCCCGCCGUGCGUCCUUGGUCUUGGCGGUAGGUAACGUCGUGCUCUCGGGCUGUGUCUCGUGGGUUAGCCAUUGCGGUGCCGAUUGCCUGUGUGGCUAUGGCGGCGCCCAUCAGGGAAACAUGGGAUGUUGGAUUGAGGCAUCGCACAUAGUAACCCGAAGCCAGGCAAAGGAUGCCGGUCGGACUGGCAGGGAGCGGAUUGCACCUGAGGUAUGGUGGAAGGGUGAAAACAUUGGUGGGAGCGAACUGUCAUUGCCGUUAUUCAUUAUACUUGUAGCCAAGCGUCGAGGGCAUGACAAUUGUGGAAGGUGGGAAGAUGGUUGGAUCAUAGUUAUGAUUACUACUAGAUUCACAUCGUUUGAGAUUGAAACUGGAUAACUUUAGUGUGUAGUAUGAUCUAUCGGGGAUAUAUUGGAUUUAUGUGUAAUAUGAUCCACAUGAUUGUGAAAAUUGAUGGACUACUACAUUAUCUUGGAUUGAACUAGUAGGAAAAAAACAAAGAUAUUGGAGUAAUAGAAAUGUUGUUUGUGUUAGAUUCAAAUGUUUAAUGAUAUAUGUGUUUGGAUUCUAGGUCGGAGUUAAACUUGAGAUAGGGCACUUGGAGUUGUGAUAUUUUGACAGCUUGAAACUGGAGAACUUUAGGGUGUAGCAUGAUCAACCUGAGAUGUAUUGGAUUUAUAUAGGUAUAGUAUGAUUAGCAUGAAUGCGGUGUUGCUGGACUAUUGGAUGAUCUUGGAUAUUACUAGUUGGAUUCUAGGUUGGAGAUAACUUGAGCACUUGGAUUUGUGAUAUUUUGGCCUAAGCUUAGUAGCUUGUAUGUGUUCCAUAUGGAUAUGAGCAUGGAGAUGAUACAAAUGGAUAGUAGUUGGUAGACUUUGAUAAUUUUGCUAGCCCUCCCCAAGAAUGUUACCAGUACAAGAUUAUCAUGGGAUGAUGAUUUGGAGAUGACAAUUUCAGUGGUAUGAGCCUUGUUGGAGCACCUGAUCUUGCUUUUAUUAUGUGUUUGUGCUCCUUUAGAUGCAGUAGUGGGAGGAGAGUAGUACUUAUGAAGUGAUAUUAUAUUGGUGGAUAAAUAGAUCUUUAAUAACCUUGGAAUAAUUUGGAUUUACUUAGUUGAUUGUGAUCUUGAAAGAAAAUCUGAUGGAUAAGUAAAUUCUAGUUUUUUGAUCUAUAGUGAUCAAGUGAAAGCUUGCUUUAUACUGGAUGAUAACCAUGAUAGUGGUUAUAGUUAUGAUUUGUACUAGAUGCACACCUUUAGAGAUUGAACUGGAGAACUUUAGGGUCUAGUAUAUGACCAAUCGGACAUAUAUUGGAUUUAUAUGUGUAUUAUGAUUAGCAGGAUUGUGAAAAUUGAUGGACUAUUACAUCAUCUUGGAUUGAAUUAGUAGGUAAAAAACAAAGAUAUUGGUGUAAUAGAAAUGUUUGUGGAAUGUUCAAUGAUAUAUUUGCUUGGAUUCUAGGUCGGAGUUAAACUUGAGAUCGGGCACUUGGAUGAUGUUUUGACAUGAGCUUGAAGCUAGAGAAUUUUAGGGUGUAGCAUGAUCAACUUGAGAUGUAUUGAAUUUAUAUAGGUAUGGUAUGAUUAGCAUGAAUGCGCUAUUGGUGGACUAUUAGAUCAUCUUUGAUAUUACUAGUUGGAUUCUAGGUUAGAGAUACUUGAGCACUUGGAUUUGUCAUAUUUUGACCUGCUUAGUAGCUUGUAUGUGCCCCAUAUGGAUAUGAGCAUGGAGAUGAUACAAAUAGAUCGUAGUUGGUAAACUUUGAUGAUUUUGCUAGCCCUCCCCAAGAAUGUUACCAGUACAAGAUCAUGGGAGGAUGAUUUGGAUUAAUUAGAAUAUAUGACAAUUUCAGUGUAUGAGCCUUGUUGGAGCAGCUGAUCUUGCUUUUAUUAUGUGUUUGUGGUCCUUUAGAUGCAGUAGUAGGAGGAGGGUAGUACUUAUGAAGUGAUAUUAUAUUGGUGGAUAAAUAGAUCUUUGAUAACUUUGGAACCGUUUGGAUUUACAUAAGAUGAUUGUGAUCUUGAAAAAAAUCUGGUGGAUAAAUAACUUCUAAUUUUUGAAUAUAUAGUCAUCCAGUGGAAGCUUGCUUUAUAUUGGACUUAGAUAACCAUGAUAGUGGGCUUGGUUGGAUCAUAGUUAUGAUUUGUACUAGAUGCACACCUUUAGAGAUUGAAACUAGAGAACUUUAGGGUGUAAUAUGAAUAUGAUCAAUCGGAUAUAUAUUGGAUUUAUAUGAAUAUAAUAUGAUCAAUAUGAUUGUGAAAAUUGAUGGAAGAAAACAAAGAUAUUGGAGUAACAGAAAUGUUGUUUGUGUUAGGUUCAAUGAUGUAUCUGCUUGGAUUCUAGGUCGGAGUUAAACUUGAGAUUGGGCACUAAAUCUGGUGGAUAAAUAACUUCUAAUACUUGGAUCUAUAGUAAUCCAGUGGAGGCUGAGGUAGUUGCAGAGGAGCGAUGAGAAAGCACAUGAGAAGCUUUGCUCGAUCUCCUGAAGAUUGACAUUGCCGCACGGCUUGGCGUAAAGCCGGUGCGGCUGAUAGGGUUGUCACCGUCUCCCACACCUCAUGUGCAUUGUUCAUUCCCGCCAAUUCGGCUUGGUGUCCUUCCCUUGUUUGCGAGUUCCGUGCCAAUGACUUGAUCUGGCAUCACACGUUCUCCUGCCGUGCGUCCUUGGUCUUGGCGGUAGGUAACGUCGUGCUCUCGGGCUGUGUCUCGUGGGUUAGCCAUUGCGGUGCCGACUGCCUGUGUGGCUAUGGCGGCGCCCAGUAGGGAAACACGAGAUGUGGGAUUGAGGCAUCGCACAUAGUAACCCGAAGCUAGGCAAAGGAUGCCGGUCGGAUUGGCAGGGAGCGGAUUGCACAUGAGGUAUGGCGGAAGGGAUGAAAACAUUGUUGGGAGUGGACUGUACUUGGAGCCAAGCGUCGAGGGGAUGGCGAUUGGGUAAGGCGGGAAGAUGGUUGGAUCAUAGUUAUAUUACUACUAGAUUCACACCUUUAGAGAUUGAAACUUGCGAACUUUAGGGUGUAGCAUGAUCAACCUGAGAUGUAUUAGAUUUAUAUGUGUAAUAUGAUUGACAUGCAUGCGGUAUUGGUGGACUAUUGGAUGGUCUUGGAUAUUACUAGUUGGAUUGUAGGUUGGAGAUAACUUGAGCACUUGGAUUUGUGAUAUUUUGACCUAAGCUUAGUACCUUGUAUGUGCCCCAUAUGGAUAUGAGCAUGGAGAUGAUGCAAACAGAUCGUAGUUGGUAGACUUUGAUGGUUUUGCUAGCCCUCCCCAAAAAUGUUAUGAGUACAAGAUCAUUGGAGGAUGAUUUGGAUUAAUUAGAAUAGAAUUUCAGUGGUAUGAGCCUUGUUGGAGUAGCUGAUCUUGCCUUUAUUAUUUGUUUGCGCUCCUUUAGAUGCAGUAGUAGGAGGAGGGUAGUACUUAUGAAGUGAUAUUAUAUUGGUGGAUAAAUAGAUCUUUAAUAACCUUGGAAUAGUUUUUAGUUAGGUGAUUGUGAUCUUGAAAAAAAUCUCGUAGAUAAAUAAGUUCUAAUUUUUGGAUCUAUAGUCAUCUAGUGGAAGCUUGCUUUAUAUUGGACUUGAAUAACCAUGAUAGUGAACUUGGUUGGAUCAUAGUUAUGAUUUGUACUAGAUGCACACCUUUAGAGAUUGGAACUUGAGACCUUUAGAGGUUGGAUCAUAGUUAGAGAUGCACACCUUUAGAGAUUGGAAAUAUAUUGGAUUUAUAUGAGUAUAAUAUGAAUUGUGAAAAUUGAUGGACUAUUACAUCAUCUUGGAUUGAAAUAGUGGAAAGAAAACAAAGAUAUUGGAGUAAUAGAAAUGUUGUUUGUGUUAGGUUCAGUGAUAUAUCUGCUUGGAUUCUAGGUCGGAGUUAAACUUGAGAUUGGACACUUGGAUUUCUGAUAUUUUCGCAUGAGCUUGAAACCGGAGAACUUUAGGGUGUAGCAUGAUCAACCUGAGAUAUAUUGGAUUUAUAUAGGUAUAGUGUAUGAUUAGCGGACUAUUGGAUCAUCUUGGAUAUUAAGUUGGUUAUAGGUUGGAGAUAACUUGAGCACUUGGAUUUGUGAUAUUUUAACCUAAGCUUAGUAGCUUGUAUGUGCCCCAUAUGGACAUGAGCAUGAAGAUGAUACAAAUGGAUUGUAGUUGGUUGACUUUGAUGAUUUUGCUAUCUCUACCCAAGAAUGUUACGAGUACAAGACCAUCAUGGGAGGAUGAUUUGGAUUAAUUAGAAUAGAUGACAAUUUCAGUGGUAUGAGCCUUGUUGAAGCUGACCUUGCUUUUAUUAUGUGUUUGUGCUUCUUUAGAUACAGUAUUUGGAGGGUAUCACUUAUGAAGUGAUUUUAUAUUGGUGAAUAAAUAGAUUUUUAGUAACCUUGGAACAAUUUGGAUUUACUUGUGUGAUUGUGCACAGCGGUGGAUACUUCUAAGUUUUGGAUCUAUAGUAAUCCAAUGGAAACUUGCUUUGAAUUAGAUAACGAUGAUAGUGGGCUUGGUUGGAUCAUCGAACAUAUAAAGGAUGAGCGGGGUGCUAGGCACAACCGCUGUGUCCACGUAGGCUAUGAAUAGUGCCGGCGAAGCGAGCGUUGCGUUCCGCGCGAGUAGAGAAGUGAGCAAGAGAAAAAGAAAAAGCGAGCGAGCAGCUGUAGCGAGAGACCUAACCCGUCUCCCCCGCAACCCCCGCCUUCUCUCCUGCCGCCGCCGCGCCCCGUUCUUCCCUUCUCCAUGCUCGCCGCUGCCGGCAUAGCGUCCGCCGCUCCCCCGCCUCGAGCCAGACAUCGCCAUGGAGCCUCCGCUCCCCCGCCUCGAGCCAGACAUCGCCAUGGAGCCUCCGCUCCCCCGCCUCGAGCCACCCCGCGCCUCGUCUGCCUCCUCUCCUCCCUCUCCCUCGUCUCCUCUCCCGCACCGCCAGCCCCUUCUCUCUCCUCCCCCGCGCAAGCCAGCCCCGGAUCUGAAGGAAGAGGAGAGAUGCGGGAUUUGGAGGAGGAAGAGGAGAUCCGGGCCUCCCGGCGGUGGCUCGACCGAUGCAAGGUGAUGACAAGUUGCCUCUUCCUGCGCACCUUCUCCCUCGCCGCCGCCACGGCCUCUCCCACCGCUCAUCUCCACCUCCCGCUUUCCCUGUGGCUCACAUCCCUCUCAGUGUCACCACUCCUUGUCUCCUAGGUUCUCGAUCUGGAGCGGGAGGGACAGACGAGGCUACAAGCGCCAGCAUGAUUGUCCACAGCACCGUCGCCGUCGUCCUCGGCAGUGGUAGGGCGGGUCGCCAAGAAAGCCGGCUCCGUCUUGCUCUCGCGCCACUGUCCAUCCACCCGAGAAGCCCGUCCACACACCUGUCAUUCACGCCCCUCCUCCUCGGCUCGUUCUCAUCUCUGUCAGGCAGAUGAGCUCCUGCUUCCUCUCUGUCUCCCUUUGAUUUUGUGCUUGUGCUGUACUGUGUGUUUGUGCAGUUGCUUUGUGAGCUACAGCUACUACUUGUGCUGCUAGUGUGUCCUGGUUCUGGUGCUGCUAGCUGCUGCUGGUUGCUUGUGUUGCUGGUUGCUUCUUUAUUUGGUUAAUUGUGACACUGAAAAGCCUUUGUGAAAAGCAAAAAUUGAUGAGAAGGCUAUGAGCUGAUGAGAUGACCUUCAUUUUCAAUUUUUUAUUUAAUAAUUGAUGAAGGAUAUGUCAUAUAUUCAGUUGUUAACAUUUUCUCUAUGGUGUAUGUACCUAUUGUUCAUUGUAUUCGAGGGAGAGGACAACAAGAGUAAGAGAGCCUUGGGACGCGAAGGCAGUAGCAUGCAGCGCCAGGUCAAGCGCACCGACCUCGACGACCAGAGACCAGUACACUUAACAAGAGUAAGAGAGCCUUGGGACAACACUGGAUGAGGGCGUCGACUAAAGGAGCGCGAAGACGUCUUCCUCCAAAAUCUUGCCAAGGAUUUUGUUGCAACGACACAGUGCUGACAAUUUUUGUUUUUGGAAUUUGUCAAUGAAAUUCUGCUCGAUCAGGGUUCUUAAAUAUUUGUUCACCCAGAUGAACCGCUUAUUUUAUGUGCAUACUGGAUAUUUGUCAUAUAUGUAGAAGGUUCUACAAUAUAUCAAAGAAAAACAAAACAGAGAGGAUGCUGGGGCUCGGGCAAGGGAGGCUGCGCUCAGUGCAGUACUGCGGUCUUUUACUGCCCUUCACUGUUAAUUAAAUAUAUAUCCUCUUCAUAGUUCAUACAGUUUUAGGAUUUUAGCAGUAUGAAAAGUCACAGAUAAUGUGAUGGUGACAUUUGGGCUUAUACAAGUGUUAGUUGUCAGUCUUCUGCCCGCUUGCAUUUGAACGUUGCCUUGGGCACGAUCCUUAAGCUUGUCAAAAGUUGUGGAUCGAUAGGCAUUGACAAAAAAAUAUAAGCUCUGUGUUCUGAAAUACAGGUAGAGCAGCAGCUAUAGCACCCCUAGAGAGAUUGCGUUGAUUGAUUCUCAUCGUAUAUAUAACUCAACUAUUUAAAGUAUUCUAUAUACACUGAAAUCGUGCUCAUAGUUUUUUAAAGUAUUCUAUAUGCACUGAAAUCGAGCUCAUAAUUUUUUUAUCAUGUACCUUUUCUGCUAAAGAUCAUUACACUUCUUCAGUACAUCAAUGUUGCUUCCAAAGCAGAGCCCCUCCUAGAGGACAGUUUCUUUUAUCAGAAGGGUGAGUGUGUUGUAUAUUUUUCUGUCCACUAAAUCAAUACUUCUGGUUACAUAUUGUGACAGAAUUAAGUAGGCAUAGGCUUGUUCGUUGAUUCUUGUACCGAAACUGAAUUGGUAUUGUGUUAAUACAUUAUAGUCAUCCUUGAAGGACAUGUGUUUUAUUGCCAUGCAUGCUUAAUAAUUGCUUGCUGAAGCAUUGGUCCUAAUUUACCACGGGUUUUGCCGGCGUUGCGUUUUCUUUUUGUAUAUGGUUGCUGCAGUGGCCAUUGAAUAGUGAUUCUAUCCAUUAGUAGUAUCUUGUCAUUAUGAAAGUUUGUGUAUUUUUUGUACAUAUGAAGGUUUGUGUAUUUUGUUCUCAGCUGCGUUGCUACAUAUAAAUUUGAGGCAAAUGAUGAUACGGUUCAGACUCACACUUUUCUGAUUUUAUCUUGUCAUUAUGAAGGUUUGUGUAUUUGUUUUUGUGCUGCAUAUAAAUUUGAGGAGAAUGAUUUUAUGGUUCAAAGAGACAGUUUAAUCAUAUUUGAGCUGCCAGCUUGCUUCAGCCAUGUGAUACCGGAGCCCGAGGUUGACAGUGGCCAAAUGACUGAACUUGUUCGCAACAUUAAUAGUAGUACUCUUGAUAAACAUAGCAUUCCUGACCUUUUUGUACCGUUCGCCUGUUUGCAUGUUUAUAACAGGGGAAUUAGUCCAAGUGUUAUUGGUUCACUUGCUACAGGUGGAAUAUAUCUUUGGUGUUAUUGAAUCUUUAACCAAGACAUGGCUGGAAGCUGGAGCACACUAAUCCUGAUCGAAUUUGUCAUCUCACUUUAUAGGUGGAGUAAUUGGUGAGAUUUUUUCGGUCUCUUGUAUUUUACUUUCCAGAAAAUCUGCAUGAUGGUACUCAAAAUUUAUGAAUGGUUUUAUUGGCAUGUCAUGGUGUGGAUCGAGAUGAUGUUCAGUAGACUCCCUCAUCACCUUGCCAGUGCUAUUGAUCGCUCACAGCUUGAAUCUGAAUGUGCUUCUUCCAGUCUAUGCUCCCUCUCUUUGGUUCAUUGGCCUCCCAAGACUACUUUGGUAUGAAAGAGUGAUCUUCAUAACAUACACAGUCAAAUUUGUUUUUCUCACAAGCUGGAUCGUCGCAUAACUUAUUGGUGGUUGCACUAGCUGAGCUUUGUUAUAAGUUCUGGUGCGCAUUGUAUAUCAUAGAUAAAGUGUAUGUAAUCUUCUUGGUGAGUAGGUUUUAGAAUGAUAUAAAUUUUAAAUAAUUGAGCUAGCAUUAUAGUGCUUCAGGUUUUUUCUCUUUCAAUCAAUUAACUUUUAACUGCUCACUAAUUGGUGCCCAUACAUGUUCUGUUUUAUUUUUCUCACUUCAUUAAACAUAUAAGUUUCUGGAGUGAUCUUCAUAACAUACAGUCAAAUUUGUUUUUCUCACAAGCUGGAUCAUCGCAUAACUUAUUGGUGGUUGCACUAGCUGAACUUUGUUAUAAGUUCUGGUGCGCAUUGUAUAUCAUAGAUACAGUGUAUGUAAUCUCUUGGUGAGUAGGUUUUAGAAUGAUAUAAAUUUUAAAUAAUUGAAGCUAGCAUUAUAAUGCUUCAGGUUUUUUCUUUCAAUCAAUUAACUUUUAACUGCUCACUAAUUGGUGCCCAUGCAUGUUCUGUUACAAUUGAAGGUAAUUUACAAGAAAUGGUAGAUGUUUUAGUUUUAGGAAAUAUAUCAAAAUAAAAUCUGUGGUCAAUCUAGAUUGUACUAAUAUAUAUGUUUUUAAGAGACUGUUCUGUAUUUAUUUCCUAGCAGGAAUUCCAUACCAUUUCAUGGCCAUUGAAACUUGCCUAUUAACCACGAGAAACCACUUUAGCUCUCUCUGUACGUUGAUCAUUGUAGUGCAGUGUUUGAUAUGUUGCCAAUAGCCUUUCCCUUGGCUCUUCCUCUCUAUUUAGUUAUUCCUCGAAUCAAGUGCAUAGUUAUUUUGCCUAUUGCAGGUUUUGUUAUCGUUAUAAUUACUCACUUUGUUCUAGGAUAUAAAGGCAUAUUAGUUAUUCCUUUAGCAUGCCUAUAAUGUUCUAAACUUUGAAAUCAUAUGGGAUAAAGAUCACGUCUCUUUUUAUUUUGACAUGGCCACCUUUAUCGUUAUACAGUAUUUUUUAUGAAAAACAUUGCAGAUAUUAUUUACAGAUGCAAAUUUGUAUCAGGACUUGAAAAUUUGUAGUCAAUGCAUGUUCUCUUAUAUACUCUGUCAUGGUGUACUUCAUUUUAAGCUUCAGAACUAGGAGAUUGGUUUAGAGGUUAUGUGCCUUUGUUUUGUAGUAAGUUGUAGAUGUCAAUGUCAGUUCUUCUGCUGCAAAGUUGGGGAAAGAAUUGCAGUGCAAUCAAGUUUCGUCCGAGCACACAACAUCAGCGACGUGACGAUGAAGCAAUGACAUUGUCUGGCUAUUCAUACAAUUCUAUAGAAGAUGCAAUGGACGUUGCAGCUGCUCGAGUAAUGAAAUAUAUGGAGACCAUGCGUGCCAAGGUAUUGAAAGACUAUAGUUACAACGAGUUGCAACAAACAAAGGAAAGAGAACUGCAUCUGAUUGGUUUGUUAGGACAAAGAAAAAGAAAUCAAAGAACAGGCUCUGAAGAUUAGAGAACUUAGCAAAGACUUUGCAGACUACUUAUAUCAGGUUAAAAGCACUUCUUCUGAGAUUCACCGCCCAGCUAAAGGAAGUGUAUGCUCAGCCAAUUCCAUAAGUGGUUGCGAGCUCCACAAAGCGGCUAUAGAUAUUCAUAAUGCAAUUGCUCAUCUUGGCCAGUUGAGUGAAAACUCUAUGCAGGUAAUCCAAAACACAUCGGUAUAUCCACUUAGGAGAGGAUCUACUUCCACAGCCUAUGUGCCUUCAGAAGAUGCCGAUACUACCAGCUACAGCAGCCUUCUUUGAAUAUCAAGUGAUUACCUUUGUCUAGAGAAGAUCACUGCCAUAUAUAGUUCAUCUGCCAGUCUUUCCAGAGCUUCUAUCCUGUUGAUGGACUUUGAACUUAAGCUAUCCCCAGCUAUGUAUGUUAGUUGCGGCAAUCGCAUGUAUAUAGAUUAAACCAUCAGCUACGUUCUAUGUUGCGUGGCAAUGCCAGUAGUCUCUCAAUAUAACAUGCAGCAGCUUAUUAUGUAUUUCCUACGAACAUAUGUUCAUUAUUAAUAAACCUACCAUGCAUUGUAAUAUAUAACACUAUGUAACAUCAUAUCUAAGUAUCAUUUUCCUAUGCUUAAAAAAUUUAUGAUUGGUCUGUUAAUAUUCUAAUUUGCUUGGUUCGAAUGCUUGGUUUCCUCCCGCCCUUUGCGCAAGGUGCGACAAUGUGGAUGAAGCGCGUGUUGCAUCUUAAAAAAUCCAUGUUCUUGCUGGAGCUACCUACUGCUUCAAUGGCUAUCUGUAAUCUCAGACAGGCUCUUCUAAAGAUUCAUGGUGCCGUGGUUGAACUUCAGAGCAUUUCAAGCACGGCAUGUCUCUCACUGAAGAAGGAAGGUAUAUACCCAUAUGAUCCAGACUCAGACUCAAGCUGUGGUGAGGAUUUUGUCCCUAUGAACCAACCUUCAAUGUAAUAUAUAAUACUAUGUAGGAACAUCAUACCUGUAUCUAUUUCCCUAUGCUACAAAGAUUUAAUGAAUGGCAUCUAAGUAUUCUAUAUCUCAGGGUU